GAGGCUAUAGCCAGGAUUGCACAAAGUCAUGAGGCUAUAGCCAGGAUUGCACAAAGUCAUGAGGCUAUAGCGAGGGCUGCACAAAGUCCUGAGGUUAUAGCCAGGACUGAGGACUGCACAAAGUCAUGAGGCUAUAGCGAAGAUUGCACAAAGUCAAGAGGCUAUAGCCAGGAUUGCACAAAGUCAUGAGGCUAUAGCCAGGACUGAGGACUGCACAAAGUCAUGAGGUUAUAGCCAGGACUGAGGACUGCACAAAGUCAUGAGGCUAUAGCGAAGAUUGCACAAAGUCAAGAGGCUAUAGCCAGGAUUGCACAAAGUCAUGAGGCUAUAGCCAGGACUGAGGACUGCACAAAGUCAUGAGGCUAUAGCCAGGACUGAGGACUGCACAAAGUCAUGAGGCUAUAGCAAGG